UACGUAGGGCGCAAGCGUUGUCCGGAAUUAUUGGGCGUAAAGAGCUCGUAGGCGGUCUGUCGCGUCUGGUGUGAAAACUCAGGGCUUAACCCAUGAGCUUGCGAUCGGGUACGGGCAGACUAGAGUGCGGUAGGGGAGACUGGAAUUCCUGGUGUAGGCGGUGAAAUGCGCAGAUAUCAGGAAGAACACCGAUGGCGAAGGCAGUUCUCUGGGACGGUACUGACGCUGAGACGCGAAAGCGUGGGGAGCAAACAGG
rnacentral:rRNA from 1 species